ACGGACUGGUAAUCUGUGUCAGCCGCGCGGUAACACCGGCAGCCAANUGGUAGCCACGAUUAUUGGGUCUAAAAGCGUCCGUAGCCGGGCCAGGUAAAGUUCUUUGGGAAAUUUAACCGCUCAACGGUUAAGCUUUCAGGGGAAUACUGCUUGGCUUGGGACCGGGAGAGGUCAGAGGUACUUCAAGGGUAGGGGUGAAAUCCGUUAAUCCUUGAGGGACCACCAGUAGCGAAGGCGUCUGACCAGACCGGGUCCGACGGUGAGGGACGAAGGCUAGGGUCGCGAACCGGAUUAGAUACCCGGGUAGUCCUAGCUGUAAACGAUGCGGGCCAGGUGUUGGCAUUACUGCGAGUGAUGUCAGUGCCGAAGGGAAGCCGUUAAGCCCGCCAUCUGGGGAGUACGGUCGCAAGGCUGAAACUUAAAGGAAUUGGCGGGGGAGCACCACAACGGGUGGAGCCUGCGGUUCAAUUGGAUUCAACGCCGGGAAACUCACCGGAGGCGACAGCAAGAUGAAGGUCAGGCUGAAGACCUUACUGGAUUAGCUGAGAGGUGGCGCAUGGCCGUCGACAGUUCGUGUCGUGAAACAUCCUGUUAAGUCAGGCAACGGGCGAGACCCGCGCUCACAGUUGCCAGCAUCUCCGUAAGGAGGAUGGGAACUCUGUGAGGACUGCCGCCGCUAAGGUGGAGGAAGAAGCGGGCCACGGUAGGUCAGUAUGCCCCGAAUCCUCCGGGCUACACGCGUGCUACAAUGGAUAGUACAAUGAGUAUCGACCCCGAAAGGGGAAGGUAAACCCCUAAAACUAUCCUUAGUUGGGAUCGAGGGCUGCAACUCGCCCUCGUGAACCUGGAAUCCGUAGUAAUCGCAUCUCAAAAUGGUGCGGUGAAUAUGUCCCUGCUCC
rnacentral:rRNA from 1 species